AGGGUGACGGUGCGUCUGGGUAAGGCAAAUGAGAGGCAGUGAGGUGAUCUCAGAAUGGCGUUGAGGCGGUCAGAUUAGGCCGGGCUGGCUCACACGAGGGUCCCGGGCUUGGCUUUUCCCUGCCCGUACCACUGGACAUCAGCUAGUUCUGGAUAGAGGGAGGAAUCCAGGAAACAGCUAUCAUUGUAGCUCCUGUGGGAGGCCCAAGAAAGAUGAGAGAGUUAGUGGAGGAGGAUGGGCUCAGCCAGGCCUGCACUGAGAAGGAUGUGUUCACCUUGACAGGGCCCUGUGCUAAUCACGAGUCUUUCCUGUUCAGAGCAGUGAGGCCUGAGACCCUCAACGGUGCUGUGUGUACAGAAGGCCCCCAGAAUCCACAGAAAGGGCCCGCCUGAAACCUAGAGCAUUUGUGAAGGAGGAGAAUGGAAGGAACAACUGGAUGUUGUAAAUGUUUCUCAUCUGGCCUUAAAAUCCAUGAAAGCUGGAAAAUGCCAAGGCAUCUGUGCACAUACUGGUGGAUUUUAAUGAGAGUCCUGUGUUUGGAGCACCAGAAAUAAACCAGCUUCAGAAGCAAAAACGACGUUAACAGGAGGAGGAAGCAGAGCUAGAGCUGGAAGGAGACCCAGCCAGCCCGGGCUCCAGUGACAUCAGCCGGUACACGCUCUUGUUUGCUUACGCUUGUUGAACUGAGUUUUUCAUAUGUAACUAACCAAUACUGGCACAUGAUUUGAACGUCUAUGACACUCUUCCGAGCUGACACAGUGAAGAACAUGGAAGGAGAACUCACCCAGUCUGCCAGGGUCACAGAUGAUCAUACUCAAGAUCUUCCUGGGGAGUCAACGGCAAAUUUCACUGGGCUACUUUACAGAUGAAGAAGGAAUAUAAAGAAGGUUCUGGGACCCU
rnacentral:sRNA from 1 species